UGAAAAGACAACCAUAGUUUUGUUGGAGUGU
rnacentral:piRNA from 1 species